AGACUUGAGGGUGCAAACUGAGUACUCUGGUUUUAACCUAAGCAGUAAAAAAGGGGGUGCUCCUCUGAGAUUUGGGGACUGCUGAGCCUGACUCUGCCUGCCUUGACUUGGCAAAGAUUGAGAAGUUCUAACAGUCAGUAAUCUGUUUGGAUGUGUUAUGAAGCAAAAAGGAAGAGGAUGAGGAAGAAGGAGAUGCUCAUGGAAAGUUCUGGAUCCAAAGAAGUAUCCUGCUGGACAGAUGGUGACAGAGGUUAGGCCUGACUGAGUAUGGCAGAAGAUGGGAAUUACUUCAGGAGAAAAAUAAUACAAAGUUACUCAUCAAAAAACUCGUUCGUGG
rnacentral:lncRNA from 1 species